GCCCGGUUAUAUCAGUCGGUAGAUAGUUUGACUCUUACUACAUUAGGACAUCAAAAUGUCAUGGGUUCGAGCCCCAUACUGGGCU